UGGGGAAUUUUGGACAAUGGGCGCAAGCCUGAUCCAGCCAUGCCGCGUGCAGGAUGAAGGCCUUCGGGUUGUAAACUGCUUUUGUACGGAACGAAAAGGUGCCUUCUAAUAAAGGGCGCUCACGACGGUACCGUAAGAAUAAGCACCGGCUAACUACGUGCCAGCAGCCGCGGUAAUACGUAGGGUGCGAGCGUUAAUCGGAAUUACUGGGCGUAAAGCGUGCGCAGGCGGUUUUGUAAGACAGAUGUGAAAGCCCCGGGCUUAACCUGGGAAUUGCGUUUGAAACUACAAGACUUGAGUGAAGCAGAGNGGAGUGGAAUUCCAUGUGUAGCAGUGAAAUGCGUAGAGAUGUGGAAGAACACCGAUGGCGAAGGCAGCUCCCUGGGUUGACACUGACGCUCAUGCACGAAAGCGUGGGGAGCAAACA
rnacentral:rRNA from 1 species